CAUCUCCUGCACAAAUUAUCAGCACAGAAGAGCUUAUUUUAGUUUAUGAUCUCAUUGAACCAUUUAUAAGGGCUGACAUAUGUUGUGGAUGAAUAAUCUCAUUUUAUGCCGAAUUUCUAGCAUUCACAUUAUGUCUGAUAGCAUGUUGGUGUUUUGUCAUGAGUUUUUUCCAGCUCAAGGAAUAAUGAGGCCUUGGUACCAUGUGGUGCUCCGUGGAUCUUCCAUCCGACAGAAGCAGAUAAUGUGAAAGUGGCUGGAGGCAGUUGCGCUAGUUGUUAAUAAAGACAAAAGAGAGCAUGGAGAAUUGGUUGCCGCCAUGUGUUGGCCGACUAGUGGCUACAUUUUGUUGAUGCCACCAGCAGAUAUAUAAGGUUUCGGAGGAGGAUAAGCUUGUGCUCUAUUACCAAGUAAGUUUUCUGCUAGUAUAUGUGGUGAUAAGCUAUGGCUUCAAUUUUUUGGACUGCAUUUUUUGUUUUUGUCUGUCAAUGUCUGGGCUGAGCUGGGGCCCACAUCCAGGUUCACAAGAUUUAUAGGAAACACCUAUUUCAAGGAUACUAACUACUUUCUGAGAAUAUGAAUAGGAAGAGUUUAGCUAGUAAAGAGCCUUAAUGGCAUUGCUCUCGAAUGUCAUAGUUUUGGACUGUGAUUUGAAAAUCGCCUUCGUUUUUAGGGGUUAUAAAAGAUGUUCGGCUAAUGAUACCGUUAUUGAUUAGCUAGUCGAAAGGGGAAAAGAAAAUGGAAAGGGAAAAGAAGUGUAUUGUACCACAAGCAAGACUGGAGCUAUGAAUGAGCACAUCUUUGGAGUUUUGGAGGUGAAUGCCGUCUGUGUUGGGGCUGUCGCCUGGAGAUGAGAUGCUCAUGUCAUGAACCAAAACUCCCAUGCAAUUGUCAAAUUUGAGGUGGCACUGGGGGCUGUUUUGAAUUGUAAUGCCCGUGACCGUCACAUUGAAACUCCCAUAAAACCUCAGAGCCUGUGCAAAAAACAUAAUUAACAUUUCUAAUGAUACAGGAAUGCUGGGACUUGGGAAGUUGAGCAUUUGUGAAACUGGGCCUUACAGUGGGCUUGAUGCUUGGCAUUUUUGCACUGAGCUCAUUUCUCACCUGUCACAAUAUAUAUCAGAAGCCUAAUCAGUUAUAGCAACUAAUUACUGGAACAGUGAACACAAAUUCACAGGAUGAAAUCGAGCAUACUACUUUAAUGAUGGUAAACUCUUAUCAUACAUAAGGUGAAGUUCAAGAAAGUUACCGGCAUUGGUGGAUUUCUUUCCACGGAGCUGUUUAACGGAAUCAGGAACCGUGUUUCGUCGUCGAUGGGAUCAUCAAAUGGGUAGUCCUCCCACCAAACGGAGCCUCGGCCAUCAAUAGUUCCUUGCCCUUGGAUUGUGAUCCCUCUUAGCUUUGUGAACUCGAGCCAUUGUAGCAGACCUUUUCCCCAUGCUUCGUUCUCUGUUGGAGCAACUAUGGUUCCAUCCAGCUGAAAAUUAAUUCGAACUCUUUUAGCCUCCCAGAAACGGUGUUUUCUCGAGCACACUGUCUCACAGAAUUUAUUUUUUACCUGGAAUAAAAUGUUUGCCUGGCAAUAUGGACCCGAAAACGAGAUGGGUCCCACGAGGAAUGCGUAUUCUGCUGGGACGAUCAUCAUCGAUGCCUCCACUUUGCAUGCAGCGGCCCAUGCAUCUUCAAAUGCCUGCAAUUCAUUACAGCAGAAAUAGCAGAACACUUUUCUUAGGAUUCAGCCAAAACGAAAAAGGAAAAUAACAACUCGCUUUCCGUUUUUCUUAUUGUCAGACAAAACAUUUUUCUUAGGACCAAACGCUAAAACUUUGGUCAUCGUUAUACAGUUGGUGUUGGUUUGUAGGAAAACAGUAGACAAUAAUUGUUGGAAUCAUGUGGUCCCAACAGCCACAGCAAGAAACCUUUUAGGGUGGGUCCCAUAGCCCACACCCUGGUAGUUCAGUUGUCCUUUCCUGUGCAAUUUAUUGUUUGUUACAUGGUAGGUAAUCUUUUUAUAUUCUCGAAAUUAAGUUGGAAAAUUCGAUAUGUUGGUAGGACAAGAGGGUCACGCACGUCUAGUUUUAGCAUCUUUUGCCAAUUCCUUCCUAAUGAUUUUGAACUUGCUAGUAAGAGAGAAAGUUAAGAUGACCAAUAACUUAAGCUUCAACCCAUUUACUAUUGUGACUAGUGUUAAGAGGUACUAAAAAAACUUGACUUAAUAAUCCGGAGUCAUGGAAAUGCAUGAUUGAAAUUGAAAAUUAGGACACGAGAAAGAUUGAUUGGCGCUUUCUGUGGAAUCUUAAGUUGUCUCUUUGUAUGUAGCAUUUCACUUUAUGCUCUCAACCGGGUCAAGUGACUGGUUGAGCUCCAAGGAUGCUUUUCCGGCUUGUGAAGUUGUUCAAGGACCAUUUCUAGACUACAGCGAUUUCAUUGUUGUGCAUGUUUUGAUAAUCCAUUGAAUCUUAAAACAAUGCCUUGGCUCUAACUAGCCUAAACUAAAAAGGAAGAAAAAAAGUUACUGAAUUUUGCUCUUGUGCCUUUGAGAAUGCUAGUUAUAUUGUAUCAUCAGUGAAAGUUUUUUAUUUUUCUAUUUUUGCUGGUCGAAGCACUCUGUUCAGAGGCUACUUUCUAGGGUAAAAGUUUAAUAGACUCAAUAUAGCAUACCACACUGUAAAUAUGAAAAGUUUCCGAUUACCCACAGAAAGAAAGGACGAUUGUCGAUGCCACAUUGUAUUUAUGAAAAGUUUCUCCUUUAAUCUUUGAGAAGUAAAAAUGAAAUGUUUGCUUGUUAAACUAAAUUGACUGUUUUAAUUGGCAUCAACAUGCAUUUAAAGACUUUCAUAGUAUUUACUUUGCGUACUAGACCAACAAAAAGUAAUGCGAGAGCGAAGAGUUGGGCUUCUAGUUUGACCUUUGUGUCAUCAGUACUUCCAUCACCCUUGGCCCCGAAAUCAAGCACAUUAAAGGUGGCAGAGCGGCCACCCUUGUAACCUUUCUGUGGCGGCAAAGGUGGCGUGGCUUCUACUGGUUCAGGACUCGGAGGCAACGAUGGGGUCUUGUGAGAUGGAGCUGUUGGAGAUUUUGAUCCUCCAUGGUGGUUGUGAUGGCUACUGCCAUGUCUUUUUGUCUUCUUCUUUAGCAGAGAUGCUGAGGUUUCUCUGCUGUGCCUCCAAUGCUUCCCUCUUCUGGCAUUGCACAUUUCAAGACUUGAAGACCAAACAAGAAAUGCUAUGACAAGCAUAAAUGUGAUGCUUCUGAACCUCAAUCCCUCCAUGUUUUAGUGUUGUGUGUGUGUGUGGAGGGGGGAGAGAGAGAGAGAGAGAGAGAGAGAGAGAGAGAGAGAGGGUUUAGAUGUCCAAUAUAAGUGGUGGAGGGUAUAUAUAUAGGGAGCGAAGUGAAGAGUUGAUGAUACUAUGCAGAUAUAAGCAAAGAAUUCUUCCGAUAAUUCUUGGUAUUAAUGUCUCAUUCGUUCCUUAAAAUCUCUUGCUUGCUCUUUAUGUUAAUUGUGUAUUGUUCCUUUGUGUGAAAUAUUGGUUGGGAGUGCUUGUCCUUACUAGAUGGGGCCUUCUGUUGACACAUGUCACAAUGUUUUUGCAUGUGACUCCUCCCUUUCGCAAGCAUAUCUUUUGAUGGGGAUCUAUCUACUAGCAAACCAGACUGUAAUCGAUCAUGGCAUGCAUUGCCGGCUAGCCAAUUAUAACUACUAUGAGUACCACAGUCCGUUCUUUCUCAUGCGAAUCAUUCAAUAUGUGAUUGUGCAUGCAUACAUUGCCAGUGAAUUCAUUGAUGAUGCCUACUAAUUCAGCGGAUAGAAUAUUUCAUUCUCUAAGGACCGAGACAUAUUUAUCAAGAUCCGAUGUUGUUUAUUUCAUAGACACGAUCAUUUUGUAAGCUUGUCAUGGUAUUCUGCCUACACUAUAUUAAGAGAUGCAUCAUCACGCAUAUCGUCUACGCAGUUUUCAUUCAAUAGCUUGGUUUAACAUGUCGUUC